rnacentral:lncRNA from 1 species
CUCCUCCAGCGACAGGAUGUGAGCCACCAGCAAGAAGGGAUGCCAAAAUGGCGUCUGAUAAGAUAAGUCUUAUAAAAUAUAUAGAUUUAUGAUAAUUAAGACUGAGCUAACAGAUGAGAAUCCUGGUCAUUGGCCAAGCAGCAUUGUACUUAAUACAAGUCUUCCUGUGUAUUCAUUUGGGCCCUAACUCAGGCGGAUGGCUGGCGUAAAGCACACACGUGGCAGUGGGGCUCAGUGGCUUUUGGUGGAAAGAUUUAUCGUAACACAGGAGGCCACUAUAAAAGGUUGGACACUGUUUUGUUAUUUGAGGAACAGAGAGGUAGCAGAAAAGCUGAGAGCAUGGAAGGCUUUGCAGGGUCCCGGGUUUAUAGUUGAAUGAAUUCAAGGCAAAGAUCAAGGAGUGGCUUCAAGAAGAUCUGCGUCCUAGAGCCACAUGAACCCCAGUUCUGUCACCGACACAAAGAGGCUCAGAAGAUCUCGCUCUUCAGAUGAGAUGGAAGCUAGCUGACUGAUAACUUCAUCUCAACUCUGUGACCAGAAAAUGCAGGCAGGUCAUCCUACACCUCUGAUACAAGCAUUUGUAUAAUGAAGGAAUGUUGUGUUAAGCCACUAUUAAAUAGUAAUUUUUUUUUACACGAAAAACAAAUUGGAAAACUGAUUGGAUGGUCUGGUAAGAUGGCCCAGUGACUAAGGUGAUGGCUGCCAAGCCACAUGGUGUGUGUUUAAUCCCAG